GAUUCGCAAUAGACAUGCAAGUUUUAUGUCUCUUCGGAGGCAUGGCGAAAGGCUCAGUAACACGUCGCCAAUCUGCCCUAUGGACGGGGAUAACCUCGGGAAACUGAGAUUAAUACCCGAUAGGUAUGGAAUUCUGGAAGGAGCCAAUACCUAAAUGGACUUCGGUCCGCCACAGGAUGAGGCCGCGGCCGAUUAGCUAGUAAGUGAUGUAAAGGAUCACUUAGGCGAUGAUCGGUAGGGGUAAUGAGAGUUAGCGCCCCGAGAAGGACACUUAGACACUGGUCCUAGCACUACGGUGUGCAGCAGUUAGGAAUUGUGCCCAAUGCGCGAAAGCGUGAGACCGCGAAUCUGAGUGCCAGGGAGAACCCUGGCUGUGAUGGAGUGUUCGUAGCUCCAACAGCAAGCAGAGGGCAAGGCUGGUGCCAGCCGCCGCGGUAAAACCAGCUCUGCGAGUGCCUAGGACGAUUAUUGGGCUUAAAGCAUCCGUAGCCGGGUAAGUAGGUCUCUGAUUAAAUCUGCAAGCUCAACUUGUAGGCUGUCAGAGAUACCGCUAACCUAGGGAAUAGGAGAGGUGAACGGUACUGCGAGAGAAGCGGUGAAAUGCGUUGAUUCUCGCAGGACCCACAGUGGCGAAGGCGGUUCACUGGAAUAUCUCCGACGGUGAUGGAUGAAAGCCAGGGGAGCGAAANGGAUUAGAGACCCCUGUAGUCCUGGNCCGUAAACGAUGAGGAUUAGGUGUUGGCCAUGGCUAANGGCCUGGUCAGUGCCAAGGGAAACUAUUAAUCCUCCCCUGGGGAGUACG
rnacentral:rRNA from 1 species